CCAUGCGCUUUAAAUUGAUCACUGCAAAAGGGGGAAAGAAAGAAAGAAAGAAAAAGAUCAAGGCAUAUUUCAUCAUUUCAUAAGUUACUUUCUGUAGGUACAUCCAAGUAAGCAUGAAACCAUGAGACUUACAAAACAAUCGUUUUCUGCCUAGCACCAGAGACAUCAUUACAUCAUAAUUAUCUCCAAUUCCUAUAUUCUAGCUCAGAGAACUUACAAAACCAGAGGAUUCUUUCUUAUCCUACUUCUUGCUUUCUUUUGACUUGUAUAUCAAUCCACUUUACUGGAUGUUCUAUACCAUUGAUUAAAUGAAUAAAAUAUUUGUUGCCAACAACCUUACACUUAGGCAUCAGGGUAAUUUUUCAGGGUUGGUUUCAUGUCCUCAUGGGAAGUAAAUUGUUCACCAGAAAGUGCUCAAGUUUUAAAAGAAAGUUUUUUAAAGUUGGCAAUAAAAUCAAAUGGAAGCAGAAAGGACAGCCAUUCCCCAAAACAAAAAUUCCAGCCAAGACUGAAAAACAUCUAAACCCCCAUUAUAAGGUACCUAGGUCAUUAAAUAAAACCCCUGAUGGUAACCAACUAAUCAUGCAAUUGGUUAACCUAAAUAAAAUAGCUUACAGCAAGCAGAGCAUUUGGAUCCCAGCCGUACUUGCAGAACCGUCAAUUGCAAAUAGGCCAAACCUCACAGCAAUUAUGGGUGUUUCUAACACAGCUUAGUUAAUGCAAGCUCAAAACUUAGCAUCUUCAAUAUACACAAUACUAAUUUAACAAGACUAGUUUAACAACCAGGACAACAGGCAAAACUCAACUUAGACAAGCAAAAAAGUAUGUACUGCACAAAAAUAGAUGCAUUUAGCCAAGAAACCUCAUGAAUAUCACCUAAACUUAUUUUCCAAGUAACCUCAAUAUGGUAAUUAUUGAUGCAUAUGACCUGCGCUUUCAAGACAAAGGCUGGGCAUUACCCAGAUGUUCUUAUGCAUCCUAUAUAUAAAUUGUAAUCCUUGCACAGAGGCAUAAACAUUUUAAGCAGAACAUUGAAACAUUCUAGCUAUUGCGUCCAAGGAAAAAACAUCAAAGACAGGUGGUAUAUUUGAUAUUCUAAGCGCAAAGAGGAAGGUGAAAAGGAUGAAGGCAAGAAGGAGAGGGAGGGGGAGAGUGUCAUUAGCUGACACUAAGAGCUUUCAAAUCAACGAAACGCUGAAUCAACUAGUGAGGACGCUACAAUUAGAAAAAUAUUCAGACUUCGCCCAGCAACAAAUAGUCCAAGCCAUUAGACAAAUCCACCACAUUAAAAGUAGUCUCACAUAAAGCACUGUAUUAAAAUGCCAAUUAAAUGGAUCCCCUCAUCAUAAUUCAAUUAGCAAAGUAGUCAAAGCAGUGCACUGAUUAUCUUAUUCCUUUCCAAAGCAUUAUCCCUUUAACACUCAAUUUUGUUUUUAUGUAGUUCCAAUUGACUCUAUAUCUUUGCAUCCAAUAUUUGUUAUCAGUCAUAUCAGAGUUGUUAUUCAAACGUGUGAAAUGGUAAAAAUUGAGUGCAAUAAACAUGCAAGCACAAAAGCAGAUCAAUGUUGUCUUCCUGAUUCAAAUCAAAUGAACCAAAUGCUUCUUUUGAUGAAUGAAUCUAAUAAAAUUAUUAAGAAGGCAAUAUUUGAUUCUAAGUGUGCAACGACCUGUAAACUAGAAUAAUAAAUAAUGAUGAAAUUGGAGAAGAAUAAGCUGGAAAAACUACAUAUUAGAAGAAUUCACAAAUCAAUGAUUCCAGCCCUUAUAUUUUUGUUAGAAAAUUGGGCUGUCAAAACUUCCUAGGAAAACAAAUAAAUACUCAGGAAUGAUGAAAUAAUGAUGCAAUUGACCUCUCAAGCAAAUACUAAGGAAUCAGUGCACAAACUAAGAGACCUUUCUUCCAUUAAACUAUAAGGCCAUGAAUCUUCGUACAGCUUUCACAUAGAAACUAACUUCCUCCUCUGAGAUAAGAAGCCAACCACAAUCUAUUCGUCUUUGUCAACACUCAUUUUCCCAGUUCCCCUUCUUUUGUUUAAAUUACAGCAACCAUAUCACAAUUUACAAUUUGCAUUUUUCAAGGUAUAUUUUAUGGUUACUUGGUUCCAUACAAAGUAUAAUUACUUUGCUACGGAAAAUAAGAUAAUUUAACAUAUAUUUACAACUCAUUUUAUAAGAUUUUCGUAAAAUAAUUCUUUUUUCUAUAAAGUAGUUAAUUACAGAGAUUUUUUUUUAACUUAACAAAAAAAAAAUAAAGUUUUCUUACAUAAAAAAGCACAUAAUAUUUUUUUUAAAAAAUCUAAGAGAUAAAUUAUAUGUGGUAAAAAUAUUAUAUGUGUACUUCUACAUAAGAAACUUUAUUUUUUUUCUCGAGUUAAGAAAAUUUACAUAAUUAACUAUUUUAUGAAAGAAAAAUCAAAGAAAUUGAAUCUCAUGCAAUCAAGUCAUUGGCUGUGUUGUGGCAAAAUAUCCUCUCAAAAAAUAGAGAUGCUACUAAUGCCACCCCAUUGGUUGGGCCAUUAGCUUUUCAUGUUUAUUUGUGAUAGAGCAGUAGCUGCGCUGCCAAAUAAGAAUGUAUUGAGAUACAGAUGAUUGCAACCAAAAGCAGAGAAUAAAAAAUGUUUAAUCAUUUAAUAUGAAUUAUCACCAUGGCAUCUAGCUAAAUAGAACAGUCAAUGUAGAAAUAAUUUUGACAUCAUAACACAUAAUAAAGCCACUUUCUUUGUUAUUAUAAACUCCUUUGGGAAAAUAGCAAUUUAGGCAUAGAAUUUGUUAUUGCCUUAUUGGUCAUAUUGAAAGUACUGAUUAUAACAGCCUUACCUUAGCAAGCCUUGUCACAUAUG
rnacentral:misc_RNA from 1 species